GAAAAUUACAAGCAUAAGCUUAAAACUCAAAGGACUUGGCGGCGCUUUAAACCCAUCUAGAGGAGCCUGUCCUAUAACCGAUAACCCCCGUUAAACCUCACCCUUUUUUGCUUCCAGUCUAUAUACCGCCGUCGUCAGCUUACCCUGUAAAGCUUACCAGUAAACAAAAAUGGUUCAACCCAAAACGUCAGGUCAAGGUGUAGCUUAUAAAAGGGGAAGAGAUGGGCUACAUUUCCUAUUAAGGGUAACUUACGAAUUAUAUACUGAAAUACAAAUAUUGAAGAAGGAUUUAGCAGUAAGCAAAAAAUAGAGUGUUUUACUGAAAUUGGCCCUAAAGCGCGCACACACCGCCCGUCGCUCCCCCCUAAAAAUAAUACUUUUUUAUAUAAAAAUCUUUGCUAAAAAAGGGGGGACAAGUCGUAACAUGGUAAGUGUACUGGAAAGUGCACUUGGAUAAAU
rnacentral:rRNA from 1 species